rnacentral:rRNA from 1 species
AUUGAACGCUGGCGGCAGGCCUAACACAUGCAAGUCGAACGAGUGGCGGACGGGUGAGUAAUGUCUGGGAAACUGCCUGAUGGAGGGGGAUAACUACUGGAAACGGUAGCUAAUACCGCAUACCAUCGGAUGUGCCCAGAUGGGAUUAGCUAGUAGGUGGGGUAACGGCUCACCUAGGCGACGAUCCCUAGCUGGUCUGCUAGGAUGACCAGCCACACUGGAACAGAUACACGGUCCAGACGCCUACGGGAGGCAUGAGUGGUGAAGAUGGCACAAUGGGCGCAAGCCAGAUGAAGCCAUGCCGCGUGUAUGAAGAAGGCUUUCGGGUUGUAAAGUACUUUCAGCGGGGAGGCGUUACACGCAGAAGAAGCACCGGCUAACUACGUGCCAGCAGCCGCGGUAAUAC